GGAGAGAUGCCAGAGUGGUUGAAUGGGCCGGUCUCGAAAACCGUUGUACAGUAAUUGUACCGAGGGUUCGAAUCCCUCUCUCUCCG
rnacentral:tRNA from 1 species